GCCUGUUUAACAAAAACAUCGCCUUAUGGGAAUUAUGUGAGGUCUGGCCUGCCCACUGUAAUUGAAGGGCCGCAGUAUAUUGACUGUGCAAAGGUAGCAUAAUCAUUAGUCUCUUACUUGGAGGCUGGUAUGAAGGGUUGGAUGAAGUAAAAGCUGUCUCUGUUGGGCAAUAAAGAAUUUAGCUUUUUAGUUAAAAGGCUAAAAUGCAGUUAGAGGACGAGAAGACCCUAUAGAUCUUUAUAAAGCUGUAUGAAAUUAUAAGAUGAGGUAGGGUUUUAUAAAAAUUUUAUUUGGUUGGGGUGACAAGGAAAUAAUAUAACUUUCUUACAAAGGACACUGAUUAGUGAUUAGAGGUUCCAUAAUUUAUGAUUAGAAGAGUAAGUUACCUUAGGGAUAACAGCAUAAUCUUCUUAGAGAGUUCUAAUCGAUAAGGGGGGGUGUGACCUCGAUGUGGGAUUAAGAUUCAGACUGGGUGUAGUAGUUCAGGAUAGAGGUCUGUUCGACCAAUAGUAUCUUACAUGAUCUGAGUUCAAACCGGAGCUCC
rnacentral:rRNA from 1 species